rnacentral:lncRNA from 1 species
AGCUCAGCUGGUGGAGAUGGCACCUCAGAGGCCUCGGCAGGCCCUCCACCCAGCCCUGCCUCACGGCUGCCUGCCGUCUGCUGAAAGAUUAGUCCGAGCACGACCAGGACGUGGACAGCUCCAAGGCCACCUCCACCAGCAGGCCUGCCCUGACUCUCCCAGCACUGGCCAUUACAGCUCCUUCCUGGACUGACCCCUGCGUGGUUCCAUCCCCAUGCAGGUCCCCUCCCCCAGGGCCAGCCUGAGGCUCACUCAGGCUUAGCAGCAAAGUGCUUCAUAAACUGCAAAGUGCCACAUACAUCGCGCCUGUGGCCAUGUGUUCAAGAAUGCUGUGACUAAAGUGAGGAGAAAGGCAGUUUCUGUGCCACAGCCUCCACCCCAGAUACACGAGCCCGUGGAGCUGUGGGAAAGAAGGAGGAGGUGCUGGACGAAGCUGGAAAUGUCUUGCAGGUUCAAAUGAAGGCUUAUGUGAAGGGGGAAUCGCUCUGGACAGCUCAGUGCCCCUCAGAGUCACAUCACCACCAUUUUCCACCACGCGGAGGUGGUUGAAAAAAAGGAGUCACAGAUGGGUAAGGUUUGAGGGGCGUCGGGCUGACGAGGCAAAAAAAAAAGUAGGUGCUGUGGUGCUGAUGGGAGGUUCUCCCUCCCUCACAGGAC